rnacentral:rRNA from 1 species
AGAGUUUGAUUCUGGCUCAGGAUGAACGCUGGCGGCGUGCCUAAUACAUGCAAGUCGAACGGGGGUGCUUGCACCCUAGUGGCGAACGGGUGAGUAACACGUAGGUAACCUGCCCUUAAGCUUGGGAUACCCAGAGGAAACUUUGGCUAAUACCGGAUAACAACAGAAGAGGCAUCUCUUCAGUUUGAAAGGCCCUUUACGGGGUCACUUAAGGAUGGACCUGCGGCGCAUUAGCUAGUUGGUGAGAUAACAGCCCACCAAGGCGAGGAUGCGUAGCCGACCUGAGAGGGUGAUCGGCCACAUUGGAACUGAGACACGGUCCAAACUCCUACGGGAGGCAGCAGUAAGGAGUUUUCGGCAAUGGGGGAAACCCUGACCGAGCAACGCCGCGUGAGUGAUGACGGCCCUAUGGGUUGUAAAAGCUCUGUUGUAAGGGACGAAUGACUAGCUUAGGAAAUGAAGUUAGUUUGACGGUACCUUACCAGAAAGCCACGGCUAACUACGUGCCAGCCGCUGC